UGAUUGGGUGCGGAGGCAGGCACGUGACUGGCAGGUCUGCGGGGAGGUGCGCCUGCGCCCUAAGAGACGGAAUCUCAAAGAGUUCGUGGAGGUGGCACGUCACUGGGAUACCGGAAGCUGGGCCCCCAGUAGGGGAAUCGCCUCGGCCCCAACAUGUGCCUAAGGCGGCUUUUGCAGUCUGCACAGCUCCAGCGGGCUUGGAGGGCAGUCUUCGUGAAACAUGGCCAGGGCAGGCACCAGGGAGCCUGGCGAUGGACACAUUCUGGAGGCGGCACCUACAGAGCAGUGAUUUUUGACAUGGGCGGAGUUCUCAUUCCUUCUCCAGGAAGAGUGGCUGCAGAAUGGGAGGUACAGAAUCAUAUCCCUUCCGGAACUAUAUUGAAGGCCUUGAUCUCAGGUGGCGAAAAUGGGCCCUGGAUGAAAUUUAUGAGAGCAGAGAUAACAACAGAGGAUUUCCUACAAGAAUUUGGGAGACUUUGCUCUGAAAUUUCAAAGACCUCCGUGCCCCUGGACUCCUUUUUCUCUCUGCUGACCAGUGAGCGAGUGGCAAAGCCGUUCCCAGUGAUGACUGAGGCCAUAACUCAGAUUCGGGCUAAAGGCCUUCAGACUGCAGUCUUGAGCAAUAAUUUUUAUCUUCCCAAUGGGAAGAGCUUUCUGCCCCUGGACCGGAAACAGUUUGAUGUGGUUGUGGAAUCCUGCCUGGAAGGUGUCUGCAAGCCAGACGCCAGGAUGUACAAGCUGUGCUUGGAGCGGCUAGGCCGGCAGCCUUCUGAGUCCAUCUUUCUGGAUGAUCUUGGGCCGAAUCUAAAAGCAGCUGCCAGCCUUGGUAUUCACACCAUUAAGGUUCAUGACCCAGAGACUGCAGUAAAGGAACUGGAAACUCUUCUGGGUUUUCCGUUGAGAAUGGCUGUUCCAAACACUCGCCCUGUGAGAAAGACGAUGGAAAUUCCCAAGGACUCCUUGGAGAAGUACCUCAAAGACUUACUGGGGACCCAAGCCACAGGCCCAUUGGAACUCCUUCAGUUUGAUCAUGGGCAGUCAAAUCCCACCUACUACAUCAGGCUGGCUAAACAUCAGCUGGUUCUGAGGAAGAAACCGCCAGGGACACUGCUCCCGUCCGCGCAUGCAAUAGAGAGGGAGUUCAGUUUUCUUUGUUCUGGCAGGAUAAUGAAAGCCCUUGCGAAUGCUGGAGUCCCUGUCCCCAAAGUUCUUGACCUCUGUGAGGAUUCAAGGGUCAUCGGCACUCCCUUCUAUCUGAUGGAGUACUGCCCAGGCCUCAUCUACAAAGACCCCUCUCUGCCAGGCUUGGAGCCCAGCCAGAGGAGGGCCAUCUACACUGCCAUGAACAGAGUCUUGUGCAAGAUUCACAGUGUGGACCUCAAGGCCGCAGGCCUAGAAGACUAUGGGAAACACGGGGACUAUGUUGCACGCCAGGUACAAACAUGGAUCAAGCAGUAUCGAGCCUCGGAAACCAGCACCAUCCCGCCAAUGGAGAGGCUCAUCGAGUGGCUGCCCCUCCACCUUCCCAGGCAGCAGCAGACCACAGUGGUGCAUGGGGACUUCAGGCUGGACAACAUGCUGUUCCACCCGGAAACGGCCGAGGUGCUUGCCGUCCUUGACUGGGAACUCUCUACCUUAGGCGACCCCCUUGCCGAUGUGGCCCACAGCUGCCUGGCUCACUACCUGCCAUCCAGCUUUCCCGUUCAGCCAGGUUUGAGUGACAGUGAUCUGUCUGAGCUGGGAAUCCCUACUGCAGAGGAGUAUUUCAGGAUGUACUGUCUUCACAUGGGGAUCCGUCCCACUGAGAACUGGAACUUCUACAUGGCUUUCUCCUUUUUCCGCAUUGCUGCAAUCCUGCAGGGAGUCUACAAGCGCUCACUCACAGGGCAUGCAAGCUCGGCUACCGGGGAACAAACUGGAAAGCUGACUGAAUUUACGUCUAACCUGGCGUGGGAUUUUGCAGUCAAAGAAGGGUUCCGGGUUUUCAAGGAGAUGCCAGCCACCAAACCGUUAACAAGGUCCCACCACACACGGGCCAGGCCACAGUCCCUGCCGAGGACCCCAGGCAUGAGGAGUUAUGUCACCUCGACAGACUCUUCCCCAGCUCAUGUCUCAAAGGGAGCUCUGGUCUUCUCUCCAGAAGGCCUUUCCCCACCAGUCAGGGAGCUGUAUCAACGGCUGAAGCAGUCUAUGGAGCGGCAUGUGUACCCCGCUGAGCCAGAGCUGCAGCAUCACCAGACCUCAGCCGAGAAGUGGACCCCUUCCCCACUGGUCGAAGAUCUCAAGGAGAAAGCCAAGGCCGAAGGACUUUGGAACGUUUUUCUACCAGUGGAGACUGAUCCCGAGAAAAAAUACGGAGCAGGGCUGACCAACGUAGAGUACGCACAUUUGUGUGAGGUCAUGGGCACAUCUCUGUACGCUCCUGAGAUCUUUAAAUGUUCUGCUCCAGACACAGGGAACGUGGAGCUUCUGGUGCGAUACGGCACCGAGGAGCAGAAGGCCCGCUGGCUGAUUCCGUUGCUGGAGGGAGAGGCCCGCUCCUGUUUUGCUAUGACCGAGCCCCAGGUUGCCUUCUCAGAUGCCACCAACAUUGAGUCUUCCAUCCAAGAGGAGGAUGGCUUCUAUGUCAUAAAUGGUCACAAAUGGUGGAUCUCAGGCAUCCUGGAUCCUCGCUGCCAACUCUGCGUGUUUAUGGGAAAAACAGACCCACAUGCCCCACGCCACCAGCAGCAGUCCAUGCUCUUGGUUCCCAUGGAUACCCUGGGGAUAAAAAUCAUCCGGCCUCUGACGGUAUAUGGGCUGGAGGACGCACCAGGUGGCCACGGCGAAGUCCUGUUUGAGCAGGUGUGCGUGCCCAAGGAGAACAUGGUCCUGGGCCCUGGCAGGGGCUUCGAGAUCGCCCAGGGCCGACUGGGUCCUGGCAGGAUCCAUCACUGCAUGUGGCUGAUCGGGUACUCCGAGAGAGCGCUGGCGCUCACGAAGGCCCGAGCGAAGUCCCGCAUGGCCUUCGGGAAGCCUCUGGUAGAGCAGGGCACGGUCCUGGCAGACAUUGCCCAGUCCCGAGUGGAGAUCGAGCAGGCCCGGCUGCUGGUGCUGAAAGCUGCCCAUGUCAUGGACGUGGCGGGAAGUAAGGUAGAGGGCCGAGGGGCCUCACAGAGGUCCUGAUGUCGCAGUGAGGGACGCAGGCCCGGGAAUCUCUAGAUGCUGACUCUUCCCUCCCCACUCAGCAAACCAUGGAGAAAGCACUUGGCUCCUUGACAUAAAUAAGUUUGCUUCAACUCUCCUUGGGACUACUUGGGCAGCUUUUCAAAAAUGGAAAACGUACAAUAAAAGAGGACUGAACUUUCUGUCUUACUGACUCAGUGACCUUCUGGGUUCAAGACAGUGGACCUGAUAGGGCCCCAGGGCCCCAGCCUGAGCUACGGCCCCACCCGGACUUCCGGGCGUCCAGCAAACUAAGAGUAAGCCAUGGAGUUAGCCAGAGGAGAAGCUUUAUUUUCAAGUGUGACAUUAUUCUUUAAAUGGCUCUUUUUGAGGGCCUCUAACAGCCAGGCUGCAGCUUUGGAUAUUGCCAUGAUUAAAAUGGGGGCCCCGUCCACGGCCUACCGAGUGACUGAUCGUGCUAUUCAGGCCUUCGGAGCAGCAGGGCCGAGCAGCGACUACC